GAUGAACGCUGGCGGCGUGCCUAAUACAUGCAAGUCGAGCGAACAGACGAGGAGCUUUCUCCUCUGACGUUAGCGGCGGACGGGUGAGUAACACGUGGAUAACCUACCUAUAAGACUGGGAUAACUUCGGGAAACCGUAGCUAAUACCGGAUAAUAUAUUGAACCGCAUGGUUCACUAGUGAAAGACGGUUUUGCUGUCACUUAUAGAUGGAUCCGCGCCGCAUUAGCUAGUUGGUAAGGUAACGGCUUACCAAGGCAACGAUGCGUAGCCGACCUGAGAGGGUGAUCGGACACACUGGAACUGAGACAGGGCCCAGACUCCUACGGGAGGAAGCAGUAGGGAAUCUUCCGCAAGGGGCGAAAGCCGGACGGAGGAACGCCGCGGGAGUGAUGAAGGUCUUCGGACCGUAGAACUAUGUUAGCAGGGAAGAAGAAAUGCGUAAGUAACUAUGAACAUCUUGACGGUACCGAAACAGAAAGCCACGGCUAACUCCGUG
rnacentral:rRNA from 1 species